CUUGGUUUCGCCAGAUGUGGAUGAAGAACUGAAAACAGCGCUGUUCUGAUUGGUUUCCAGCGCAGCUCUCAGCAGCCGCAGAGGCGCCCGGGCGUGUUCUGCGCAUGCGCCCUGGGUCUCCGAGGCUUGGCGGACUCGGCCCAGCGCCAGGGUCCGACCUCCGCUCCCUCCCGGAAUUCCUUAUGGUUGCCGGGGUGACGCCUCUUUUUCUUCUCGCCGCUUUCUGUGGAGAGGGGCUCAGGCUGGCCCGCUGGGGCUGCAGCUCGCCGCUUCCUGGGGUGUGCUGGUCGCUUCUCUCGUUGCUGAGACAGAAUGCCCGGCACCAGAGCUGGGCCGAGUUUACUGGGCUCACAGUCGGAGGUUGCGGCCGGGUCCGGCGGGCGCGGAAGCAGCAAGGGGCCUAACGGCGCUCUCUGCCCUGGUGGUCAGGGCGGCGCCGGGCCAGUCGCUCGGACUCUGCUUUUCAUCAUGGCUACAGCAAGUGGUGAGACAAACUGGACGUCUCCGCCGUGUGAGAGGUCAGAGCAAGGGUCAAAGUCAGAAACCCAUCUGCAAACCUCCGGGGUCUCCUGAAGUCGGCCUGAGUGCCUUGCCUUGUUUGUGUCUGUACUGGAAAAGGGCCCUGGAGCCGGAACCCCUCCUUGGGACUCUCCAAGAGGCCGAGCACUGUGAGUUGAAGGAGUGGGAAACUCCACCCCGCCUGUGUCCUUCCUGGAUCAGAGCUGACUGGGGGGCUGAAGCUGAGGUUUCUGAGGCACUUGGGGAGGGUGGCCUGGUUUCCUAGGCUAAGGAGACUCCCGGUGUGGCUGCUUCUGUAAACACAUGGGGGCUGAGAAGGGGCCUCAGUGACUUCAGUCUCCUCUCUGGGCUUCUUCAAGUGCCACACCUGGGCCUUCGCAGAAAGCAGUUGCUGAUAAAGAGCCAUGAGAGCCUGAGCACAAGGAAUUUCACGCCAGUGUCCCUGCCUUUUGCAGAAUAGAUCUAGCUGAAGAACAGUGCUGUGAUUUAGAUGAAUUCUGUACCCAUCUGUCACCAUUUCUGAGUUCAUACCGCACCAAACAGUUCUGCAAUAGGAGAUGAGCGUUUUUUUCUCUCAGAUAGUCAGGGUCCAUUUAUUUCCACUUUGAAGGGUGGAG
rnacentral:lncRNA from 1 species